GCGGUCCUCAGAAGAGGAAGCUGGCCGGAGGGGGCGGGGCCUGAGGCGAGCGGCUAGAGAUGGGGAUACUCAGAACAGCUUUACACGGAUCGACUGAUGAGGCCCGGGGAGGCCAGUGGGUUGCAGGAGCGUGGGGUAGCAGUCGGUCUCUUGCCUACAUACAAUGAAUUUUCAACAAGCUUGCUCUGGGGAGGCCUGAGCCACGGGGUAGACUCGGUCCACAACCGGCCGUAGACGAUGGGGGCUCUCCGUGGAGAAGUGGGGCACAACUUGUUCUGUAAAAGCCUUCACCAGCGUUUGCUUGUACUGAGAUAAAGAAAAGGAGACCAUCAGCCUGGACAGAGGCCUUACCUUGCUACUUCCCAUCCUGCUUAGCCUUCGUGCUCUCUGUGAAAUGCGUACCCAUCUGAAAAAGCACACAGGGGUACCUAACCCCUUCAUUGGCAGCUUGUAUGUGUAUGCCCCCCAAUGUGUAACCUCUGUUCUGUACCAGAUAAAGGCUGAAGUCUGGAGUAAAAUAUUAGUGC